UGGUUCGUGGCUUGUUUACUAGAACGC
rnacentral:piRNA from 1 species